rnacentral:lncRNA from 1 species
GCAGUUCAGUGAUUUAUUCAAGUUCUGUAAUUGUGUUUAAAAAAGAUGCCAAACCAUGAAAAAGGGUGAAGGCACAUGUACAGUCAGUCCCGCUCAGGGGUGGGUAAUGUGUGGGCAAGUUUCACAAGCAGGUACCAGGGGUGGAUACAUACAGAUAGAAUAUUGCAGUGCUCGGGGGCUCUGUACAAGGACAGUUCUGACACAAGAGAACAUUUCACUGGUUUACUGCUACACCUUGUGCUGCUCCCUCAUCCCCAGACUUCCAGAAGCACAAAGCUGAGGAUAAGAAUUCAGUGAGCUCGGGCACAGCUGCUCACAGCUCCCCAGCAAGGGUACAUGAGGUGAAUGUGAAAGAGCAGAGGAGCUUUGAGCUCCCCUGUGCAGCCCAUUUUUAAGCUACACUUAGAAUUUACUGUGCUGUUUUCCCUUCCAUUUGCAGAGAAUAAAAUCUUCCCCCCACCAUGCAAUGAAAUAGGGUCAGAGUGGAAGGCAGAAGGAUUUUCAGGAAACAACAACAUAGGUUCAGCUGCAACAUAGUCAAAGCUUGGCAGCUCUUUACAUGCUCUGGAGCAUGGGGCAGCAUCCCUGUAAAAAUUAUGGGGUUGGAAAAGCAACCCCUUUGCCAGCCCGGGAGGUAUGAGCUCAGAAUGAGUGACAGGGGACACACUUGGGUGACACCAUUCUACACAGAACUGAAAAGACAAUCACACAUAAACGCCACCUUUGCUAUUAAAUAAAGCUGCUCAUCCUUGUCAUCCUCAUUCCUGCAAGGAAAGGGUUAUGGGUUUAGUUAAUGACAAAUGUUUUCAAGAAGCAAAAGAAAGGUUGAUAGAACAGGGAGCCCUCCUGGCCAAGCGUGUCCAGCUGCCCAGAGCCCAUGGCUGGGGAGUGCUCUGGGAUCCUGGAGAUGAGGGAGGAGAAGGUGGAAUCUCCACUGGGGCUGAGGACACCUCUCAGCUAAGAAGAAAUUCUUCAGGCAGGCAGAGCCCUUCCCACUGCUGCAUCCAGCUCCUACAGCCACGUUCAGGCAACUUGUGGCAGCUGCUCCAGUGAUGGGAAUGGGAUGGGGACGGAGCCCAUGAGGAUAAGAGGAGGUUACUGACUUUGUAUGGAGCAGAUCUGAGAGGUGGAAAGCUUCACCUUGAAGAACACAAACCCUGCGGGGAUCAGCCCCUUGUAAGGCCCAUUCCUGUGGCAGUCCCCUGGGAAGGGGGGCUGCCAGUGCCAUGGAUGUCCCUCCUCGGGCUCUGGUCCCUGCCUGCAGCUGUGCUGAGGAGGUCACCACAGUCCCGUGGUGCAGAAGGGCUUGGGGGGGAAGCUCUGAGAAGCUGGGGGAUGCUGGGGUGCUGAUGCUUCCCUCCUGCCACCAGCAGCUAUUGCAGCAGCAAGGGAGCAGCAAAGGAGGAGCAGCAGACUGGAGGCUGGGAGUGGUGGCAGCUGACAAUCCCUGGUGGCUGAGAUCUCAGCUGUGGCACCAGCUGGACAUGGGUGGCCUCCUGACCCAGAGACUCAGGGAAGAGUCAAGGAUUGCCAGCAGCCAUUCCCAGGGCACUGGGGCUUGGUGCUGCCUUCAGAGAUAUGCCAAGAACCAUUUCUCUUGACUUGAGGUGACUUAUGUCUUCUUAGUGUUUCCUAACUAUUGUUUUUCAAUAAACUCACAUUAACUUUAAUUUCCACUUUAUGCAGGGCAAUAUAAUUGAUACUGAUCCAGAGGGGCAACUGCAAAGCUGUGGGAUUCAAGCCUAGAACCUCACUGGAGUAUUUUUAUUUUUUUCCUUACUGGUGUGGUAAGACAUCUAAGUGGGUAUUUUGCUUCCCAUUAAGGCUGAAUAGAAGAGGAAGAAGAACUAGUAUGAUGUAAAUAUAAAAUUAUUGAUUAGAAACAUGCCUAAAGAGAGAAGAUUCCCACAGCAGUGAUCUUUAGGAUGAGCCACAUGUUUAUGUUCUGCACAAUGAAAAUGUGACUCCCAUGGAAAGAAUUGUUUUCCAAGCUUUUGCGGCAGAGUUUCUUAGAGCAUUUGUGAGUGCAAGUUUCAGAGCAACAGGUGAGAAGGACUUUGCCCCUACUCCCUUGGCAUCCCUCCAGCCCUGCGGUGCCAAGCAAGAGCCAGAAUUCAGCGGGAGAACUUUGUUGUGGCUGCUGGUGAGGGGUCCUGAGAGUGCCGUGGCCACAGCUUGGCCAGUGCAGCACGCACAGCCUCGGAGGCCUGGGGGCACUGGGGGCCCUGGGGCAGCCCAAGGGGUGGCACUUCUCCAGCAGGGCUGUCCCUCCUGAUCCCACCAUGCUUUGAGGAUUUAUCCCUCACGCUGGGAUGUGGCAGCCAGAGCAGAACCAGGCAAGCAGGGGCAAAUCUUACUUGAAGAAGAUCCCUGCACCAUGGGCACUUCAGUGGUGGGAAGAUUCUUCCCUCUGUAAGGGGUCUCACGAGCUCCAGCCACUGCUGAGAGCACUGUCCCAGCCCCCUCAGUGCCCUGCUGCCCUGAGCCUGCGAGCCCAGUACGGGGCUGGGAGCUGAGCUGGGGCUGGAGCCCGCUCAGGUGUCUGAGCCCAGCACUGACACACUGCCCAGCAAAGCUGCCAUUUACUGAACAGGGAUUUGCCCAGGCCUCUCCACUGGGAAUUCUCCCCUUUUUUAUGCUUUCAUUGCAAGAAAUACAAAAAUUUCUUUCAGUUGCCUGCAUCACCAUUUCCCCAGGUGAUCAUUUCAAUGGCUUCCCCAUCCUGGUUGUCCCCUGAUCCCAGUGCUGUGGUGGAUCAGGCCAUAACACACAGUCCUGCUGCACUUCCCAAACCCUAGGAGGCUCAGUGCUGAAAAUCCAUACCUGGUUGUUCACAAGCCAGUCCAAAAAGGGACCGGUCACAUUUGGCUGUAAAGGUGAAUUUUCAGGUCAUGAACAAACGAAGAGGGGCUGCAGCCCAGGAAUGAUCCCACCACGAAUGGCCACAAUUUCUUUUUCACACAGGAGUGUCAGAGCACCCUGCAGCUCCUGUCACCGCCACAUGAUGCCACAGGCCUCAUCCCUGCAGCAUCCCCAAACCAAACCCCACAUUCUAACAGAGAAGCCUGUGGAAAAGACAUUUUAAAGACCCUAACAAAUAGGUUUGUCCCUGAGUCCAUGCUGUAGUUUCCCCCAGACAAGUACAGAAAAGAAAGCAAAAUUCAUCCCACCUGUCCCAGCAGGACCAGCUCAAGAGCUCCCUGCAAACCAGAAUCUUCCCAUUGGAAGCAUCACACAGUGCAUCACAAAUACUGGGUGCAAAAAAAAUCCCCAACAAACCCAUAGAAAAUUCAACCAAAACAAGCUACAGAACACCUACACUGGGCUGUGAAAUAUCUACACAUGCAAAUGGAUGCACACACAGGAAGUUCUCAGUUUUUAAGCACCUUUCAUUUGUUUUAAAUUUGAGGAGACAAAAAUCCUCAGUGAAAUGGGGUUUUCUUGCUCUGGCAGCACUGGGCAGGAGGCCUGGGACCAGGCCAGGCCUUGUGCUUGCUGCUGGGCAGGAGCAGAACACUGCAGGUCUUCUGCAGGGGUUGACCAGAGCACAGGGAGGUUGGGUCACACUGGGAGUGACAGGUGCCUUGCAAGGCUUGGCAGGUGAGUGUUAGGUGUUAAUGCAUGGCAAGAGUGCAAACAACAGAGGGGACUUGCAGGAGCUCAUUUGCUGUGGCUUGUGCACUCUGCUGACCCUCCAGAGGGUCAGGGUCUGGAUUGACUUCAUGAAAACAUUAUUAAUAAUUUAUUAAUCCUUUAUAAACAUACUCUGCAUAUAAAGUGUAGUAAUAGUUCUGCUUCAUCUCCUGUGCUGGCUGUGCACAGAGUGAUGAAAGACAUCUCAGACUGGCACAGAAAGAGUUUGAAUUUGCUUCUGAAAACCAGGACAGAGGAAGAAGAUCACCUGUUUGAAAUGGGCACUGGGGGCUGGGUGCUGGUGGCAAUGCCAGCCUGAGACAAGUCCCCCAGGAACACGGCCAAGGGCUGCUGGCUCACAGCAGAUGACAAGGGUGCAUGGGAGGAUGUCCAUAAAGAUUUCUCUUGGGGUACCAUCUCCAGCAUUUGGGCAGGCACAGGAGAGCCUGGCAGGUGGGACGUGGUAGGAUCUGCCUCAGGGCCGCUGCUCCCCCAGCCUGUUCCUCUGGGAGCUGCUGAAGCAGCAGUGGGGGUCAGCCAGCCUCUGAUUUCUGGAGUGCUCCGGAGGGACUGGCAGCAGGACAAUUUGUAGUGGAGACCAAGCUGGGGGCUGGACAGUGCUUGGCUUCUCCCCUUCUUGAUGUGUACUGCGGCCAGAGAGAAAAUGCUUCCUCCAAUCUGCUGCCACUGAGAGGUGCAUCCAGCAGGGAUGGGAGGGCAGCACCCAUCAGACACCCGGGCUCAGCCCCUGCCUGCUGCCACAGCACCUGUGCCACUGUCCCUGCACGUGCCCUGCUCCCAGUCCAUCCCAGGCAUCACUGCAGGGGCAAAAAAGGCAUUGAGGGUGAAGCCCAGGAAGCCAAAGGAUGUAAACGCUCCCCUGGAGUCAGGAGAUGUCAGCCUCUUCACCAGCAGGGAGAUCUCGGUGUGGUCUCAGGCUGGCGGGGGACAGAGGAGGUGGGGAGGCCCAGGAGGGCAGAGCCAUGGUGAGGGCACAGAGUUCCAGCUCGGGAUGUUCGGCUCUGCACUGCCCAGCUCUGUGCUUGUGGGGAGUGAAGGGGAAAUGCUGCAGGUGGGCAGCAGCAGCUGCUACUACAGUCCAGGCUCCCUGGCCCAGAGCUAGGGGCUAUUGCAACUAAGAAAGUUCAUUUUGGCUUUAAUCUUAUUAAAAGAAUUCAUAACUAUCAGCUGUUUGGGCUCACCACAAUUCCUUCAGCUGAGGUCUCCAGCUGAUAUUAAGGGAUGAAACAUGGUGAGUGGAAGAACCUCUGGCGAAAUCAGAAUUUUCUGGAGUGUUGUGGGGGUAUUUCUUGUCUCAGAGGGUGGGAAUCCACGCUGUGAGCUGGUCAUGAGCAGGAUGCUUUCCCAGGGCAGAGGGUGCACAAGCAGUUCCUAAAAGGAGCGAACUGGGGGCAGAUCAGCAAAUUUCUGCUGGAUUUGAAGCUGCCUCACUGUUGCUGGAGCCAGUGAAAAGCCUGGAC